AUUGAACGCUGGCGGCAGGCCUAACACAUGCAAGUCGAGCGAGCGGCGGACGGGUGAGUAAUGUCUGGGUAACUGCCUGAUGGAGGGGGAUAACUACUGGAAACGGUAGUCAAUACCGCAUAACAUCAGAUGUGCCCAGAUUGGGUUAGCUAGUAGGUGGGGUAAUGGCUCACCUAGGCGACGAUCCCUAGCUGGUCUGAGAGGAUGACCAGUCACACUGGAACUGAGACACGGUCCAGACUCCUACGGGAGGCAGCAGUGGGGAAUAUUGCACAAUGGGCGAAAGCCUGAUGCAGCCAUGCCGCGUGUGUGAAGAAGGCCUUCGGGUUGUAAAGCACUUUCAGCGGGGAGGCGUUACCCGCAGAAGAAGCACCGGCUAACUCCGUGCCAGCAGCCGCGGUAAUUC
rnacentral:rRNA from 1 species